CUCGCAGAAAGGAGGUGGGAGGCCGGGCAGGACGGCGCAGCCGCGCGGAGCCGCUCGGGUCCGGCGGGGACAAGCGGGCGGGGCGGAGUCCGGGCGGUUCCGGCCCAGCCUGCGCCCCGCCCCGCGGGCCGGUGAUUGACGGGCGCCGGGACCGGCGACAGGUGCCCGCGACCUCCGGGCGGGCCGUGUCCCGGAGCGAGACCUCGGGCGGGCCCGGGUCGCUCUCGCCGCCCUUCCUUUCCCACCCACAUUGUCUGACGCGGCCUCGGGCCGGAGACUCCCAGGUGGGGCCCCGCCUCGGUGCAGGUGACCGCGUGCGCCCUGUGCCGCGCGCCCGGCGACCAGGGCUGGCCCGUCGACCUCGCCAUCCCAGCCCGCGCGCAUGUCCCUGCGACGGGUGCCCGCCGCCGCCACCCACUCCAAGCCACCCUCUGGAGCGCCCACCGGCGCCGCACCCCCUCCAGGCAGCCCUCCGGAGCGCCUGGCCCGGCGCGUUCAGUCGGGGGCCGCUCGGGCGGGAGCGCGGAGCAGCUGCGCGGUCAUCUGAUCCGGACAAAGGCGCCCGGAGCCGCGCCAGGUAUUUGGGAGCCUGUUGCCUACCAGCUGGAGGGAUGACCUUGGAGGACUUCAGCUGACUACUCGGUCUUUGAGGAUUUUCCCUCUCCCUGGGCGUUACGUGGUCACUGUGAUCUCAACAUCUGCCUCAGUGAAAGUCACGUUUUGCCAGGACAGUGCAGUCCUGACAGAGAGGCCGGCUGCAGCACACCUACAGCGAGGCCUCAGUGACCGGGCGCCCUGUGCGGUACUGCUCAUCAACGUGACCUUUACUCCACGCCCACACCUUUCACCCCGGAUGACGGUGCCCCGGGUGUUGGGGGUGGGGGAGAUGGAAGGAGGAGCAGAUAGGGGUGAGAUAGAGACCUCAACGUGAGCCCUGCGCGAGGCUGGAUGCCAGAGUGGGAGUCCCUGCUCCACCUUAAUUCUGCACUGUGCCCGCAAGCUUGAAAACAACUUAGAUAGCGCAUUGUGAGAUAACGUGCGUUCUCGGCCCUCCCAAUAAACUCAUUUCCCUUAAAAAAAAAAAGAAAACAAAAGUUCUAGUGUCUGAUGGACGUGUAAAAACCUAAUAAGGUGAUGGUUGUG
ensembl:lncRNA